rnacentral:rRNA from 1 species
AUUGAACGCUGGCGGCAGGCCUAACACAUGCAAGUCGAGCGAGCGGCGGACGGGUGAGUAAUGUAUGGGGACUGCCCGAUAUAGGGGGAUAACUACUGGAAACGGUGGCUAAUAACGCAUACUAUCGGAUAACCCAUAUGGGAUUAGCUAGUAGGUGGGGUAAAGGCUCACCUAGGCGACGAUCUCUAGCGUGUUUGAGCGGAUGAUCAGUCACACGGGGCUUGAGACACGGUCCAGACUCCUACGGAGGCAGUAGUGGGGAAUAUUGCACAAUGGGCGCAAGCCUGAUGCAGCCAUGCCGCGUGUAUGAAGAAGGCCUUAGGGUUGUAAAGUACUUUCAGCGGGGAGGCGUUACCCGCAGAAGAAGCACCGGCUAACUCCGUGCCAGCAGCCGCGGUAAUAC